GUGAGGAAUAUUGGACAAUGGGCGCAAGCCUGAUCCAGCCAUGCCGCGUGCAGGAAGACGCAUCUAUGGUGUGUAAACGGCUUUUGUACGGGAAGAAACACUCCCUCGUGAGGGAGCUUGACGGUACCGUAAGAAUAAGGAUCGGCUAACUCCGUGCCAGCAGCCGCGGUAAUACGGAGGAUCCAAGCGUUAUCCGGAAUCAUUGGGUUUAAAGGGUCCGUAGGCGGUUUAAUAAGUCAGUGGUGAAAGCCCAUCGCUCAACGAUGGAACGGCCAUUGAUACUGUUAGACUUGAAUUACAAGGAAGUAACUAGAAUAUGUAGUGUAGCGGUGAAAUGCUUAGAUAUUACAUGGAAUACCAAUUGCGAAGGCAGGUUACUACUUGUGGAUUGACGCUGAUGGACGAAAGCGUGGGGAGCGAACAGGAUUAGAAACCCUGGUAGUCC
rnacentral:rRNA from 1 species